rnacentral:rRNA from 1 species
UAGUCCACGCCGUAAACUAUGAUUACUCGCUAUUGGCGAUAUACUGUCAGUGGCUAAGCGAAAGUGAUAAGUAAUCCACCUGGGGAGUACGAUCGCAAGGUUGAAACUCAAAGGAAUUGACGGGGGCCCGCACAAGCGGUGGAGCAUGUGGUUUAAUUCGAUGAUACGCGAGGAACCUUACCGGGGCUUAAAUGUAGUAUGACCGGUCUGGAAACAGGCCUUCCCUUCGGGGCAGAUUACAAGGUGCUGCAUGGUUGUCGUCAGCUCGUGCCGUGAGGUGUUAGGUUAAGUCCUGCAACGAGCGCAACCCCUAUUCUUAGUUGCCAGCGGUUCGGCCAGGGACUCUAAGAAGACUGCCAGCGCAAGCUGAGAGGAAGGUGGGGAUGACGUCAAAUCAUCACGGGCCCUUACGUCCUGGGGCUACACACGUGCUACAAUGGUAGAGACAGA